rnacentral:lncRNA from 1 species
UAUAUAUAUAUAGCCACAGCAAGCAGAGCGAGUUACCUUUCUUGAAGGUAUAAGUCGGUACAUGCGAGUCGUUACUCUUGUCUGGCAUUAUUUUGGCUCUUAGAAAACAUAGGCCAAACCGAGAACACAACGCACACACAAGCCAGUACCCACCGCUUAGUGGUGUUUGUGCAUGUUUUGUUCUCCUUGUGGUGCUGUUUCUCGCGUCUUUAAAAAUAAUGUGCUGUAAACCGUACCAACUUACGCAGCUAAAAGCCAUCUCACAUUAUUCUUGCGCUUUAUCUUCUAUGCCUGAUUUUUCAUCACAGAUCAAAAUGUUCCAACUCGUCAGGAAUGCAGUUCAGUUCGCCCGUUUUGCCCGAAAAAAGUUUGAAAAAUACGAGGUUUCGUGUUUGCUGCGUCACGAAUUAGUGCAUUUUAAUCAGCGAACUAUUCCUUUGCUGUGCUGGCAAGUGCAAGCUUUCUUUUCGCAACGUUUGCCUCGAGGUUCCCGAUGUUUUGUGCGUUGUGAAAGCAGUUCGCGUCGCCUUCUGGCUGCUGCUAUCCGACCAACUGUGUUCACUGCCUGGCUUUCCAGAAGAUCAUUGUCCACACGAACUCAAGCCGCGUGUCUUGGGCAUAUAUGGCGCAUUUCGCUGUUGCCAUGUAAAACACCACCCACAAAACUACUUGUAGGAACAAAAUAAAGCAGAGGCGGGUAUGGGGAUUACGCGCUCAAUUGGAGACGUAGUCAGCGCUGCGCGCGUUCACGGUUGUGAAUCUUUGGCGUUGCCAUUGAGAAUUGUUUUCUUUCAAUGAAUGUAUGUUUUGUUACAUUAUGAAGUACCGUUAAUUUAUGCCCUGGAAAGUUUAUUUAUAAACGUGUUCCCAUUCCAGCUAGUAUUCGCCAAUAAUGAAGUGCGUGUCGUCCUCCAGGUGUACUGAAAGAGCGGCUCACUGCUCUCUCAGUUGUGGCCCUUAUGCGUAAAGCGCCUUGCCAGGAGGCAUCAUGCACUUCAUGUGGCCCGACUAUAAGGAACGUGUUCUAGUGGCCAGGG